rnacentral:rRNA from 1 species
UUUGAUCCUGGCUCAGAACGAACGCUGGCGGCGCGUUUUAAGCAUGCAAGUCGAGCGGCAGGGGGGCUUCGGUCCCCCCGAGAGCGGCGGACGGGUGAGUAACACGUGGACAACCUGCCCCCCGGUUCGGGAUAGCCCAGGGAAACCUGGAUCAAUACCGGAUGCGAGGGCGGCCGCACAAGCGGCCGUCGGGAAAGGCGCUUCGGCGCCGCCGGGGGAUGGGUCCGCGUCCCAUUAGCUAGACGGUGGGGUAACGGCCCACCGUGGCGAUGAUGGGUAGCCGGCCUGAGAGGGUGGACGGCCACAUUGGAACUGAGACACGGUCCAGACUCCUACGGGAGGCAGCAGCUAAGAAUCUUCCGCAAUGGGCGAAAGCCUGACGGAGCGACGCCGCGUGAACGAAGAAGGCCGUGAGGUUGUAAAGUUCUUCUCGGGAGGGGGAACGAGGCUGCCAGGCAAUGGGCGGCCGAUGACGUGAAUCCCGGAAUAAGCCCCGGCUAACUACGUGCCAGCAGCCGCGGUAACACGUAGGGGGCGAGCGUUGUUCGGAAUCAUUGGGCGUAAAGGGCGUGCAGGCGGCCGCCAAAGUCCGGCGUGAAAGACUCAGGCUCAACCUGGGGGGUGCGCCGGAUACUGGGCGGCUUGAGUACAGGAGGGGACGGCGGAAUUCCAGGUGUAGGGGUGAAAUCUGUAGAUAUCUGGAGGAACACCGAUGGCGAAGGCAGCCGUCUGGCCAUGUACUGACGCUGAGGCGCGAAGGUGCGGGGAGCAAACAGGUUUAGAUACCCUGGUAGUCCGCACAGUAAACGAUGUGCACCAGGCGGCGGGGGCAACCUCGCUGCCGCAGUCAACGCAUUAAGUGCACCGCCUGGGGAGUAUGCCCGCAAGGGUGAAACUCAAAGGAAUUGACGGGGGCCCGCACAAGCGGUGGAGCAUGUGGUUUAAUUCGAUGCAACGCGAAGAACCUUACCAGGUCUUGACAUCCAAAGAAUCCUGAUGAAAGUCGGGAGUGCCUUAGGGAGCUUUGAGACAGGUGGUGCAUGGUUGUCGUCAGCUCGUGUCGUGAGAUGUUGGGUUAAGUCCCGCAACGAGCGCAACCCUUGCUAUUAGUUGCUAACAUUGAGUUGAGCACUCUAAUGGGACUGCCCGUGACAAGCGGGAGGAAGGUGGGGAUGACGUCAAAUCAUCAUGCCCUUUAUGAUCUGGGCUACACACGUGCUACAAUGGAUGGUACAGAGAGCAGCGAGACAGUGAUGUGGAGCGAAUCUCAAAAAGCCAUUCUCAGUUCGGAUUGCAGGCUGCAACUCGCCUGCAUGAAGUCGGAAUCGCUAGUAAUCGCGGAUCAGCAUGUCGCGGUGAAUGCGUUCCCGGGCCUUGCACACACGGCCCGUCA